rnacentral:rRNA from 1 species
GACGAACGCUGGCGGCGUGCCUAAUACAUGCAAGUCGAGCGAAGCGGCGGAUGGGUGAGUAACGCGUGGGUAACCCGUCCUUAAGUCUGGGAUACCAUUUGGAAACAGAUAUUAAUACCGGAUACUAAAGGCCGUGCCUGCGAUGCAUUAGCUAGUGGGUAAGGUAACGGCUUACCACGGCGAGGAUGCAUAUCCGAGUUGAGAGAGUGAUCGGCCACAUUGGGACUGAGACACGGCCCAAACUCCUACGGGAGGCAGCAGUAGGGAAUCUUCCACAAUGGACGAAAGUCUGAUGGAGCAACGCCGCGUGAGUGAAGAAGGUUUUCGGAUCGUAAAGCUCUGUUGUUGGUGAAGCGGUAAUCAACCAGAAAGUCACGGCUAACUACGUGCCAGCAGCCGCGGUAAUUC